CUUGUUCUUCUUUUUUCUUGUUUUCGGAUUUUUUGCUCGUGUUCUUAUUUUUCUUCUCAUUAUUAUUACGUAUAGUUAAUUACCCUUGUCGUUGUUGUUGUUGCUCUUGUUUUUGUUGCCAUCAAUAUUCAUGUUACUGCUCGUCAUUUCGUGCUUCAUUCAGCUCCUCAGUCUGCCACCAGGCUUUCUCUGCAAUGGACCCGCGGACGCCGGUGCACAUUUCCCUUGGCAGUGGCGGCGGCUGGCGAGUCGGGGCUGCGACAGGAUACCACGCAACAUUUCUCCGCCCUGUAGUGGUCCUGCCAUUGGUCCUGCCUUGCUGCUGCCCCGUCGUGACAAAGUGUUCAUACGGCAUCACAUGGGUUACUUCUUUGUCACCUCUUCUGCAGCCUCGUCAUAGCUCAGAGAGUUAAUUCCUCUACACCACGGUCACCACCUUUACCACCUCGGCUUGGGGAAGGAGAGGGGCAGCCAUGCAGAGUUGAACCUAGGGCGGUUAUAGUGCGUACGAGUUUAGGAAGCAGUGCUCUAGAAGUGAAGAUGUCAGGGAGGGCUUGUGGGUGCGUGUGAGUGUGUUCAAGUGACCACAUCUUGACCAAACACCAAACAUCACCCUCUCGUCUUCCGUGAGUGAUUUAAAAUAGGAUAAAUCGAUUGUUGUUAUGUUUUUAUUUUAUUUUAUACUUUAUAACUAAGAAAAUAAAUAAAUAGUUGAAAUCAGUUAAUAAAAGUAUCCGUAUUCUCACGAACGAUGAAGUUCACGAUGUAUGGGGCGAUUGGAAUAGUUUCAGUAUAAUUAACAAAACCUGGCUGUCUGAAACCUCACGAAAGGCACCUUGCGUAUCAUACAGUGGUUCGAAACGUUGAGUAGCGGACCACAGUGAUCAGGUGCCACGCCCGGACACUGUUUUCAAUAUGUAUGCGUCCUGUGAGUCAAGGAAGGUGCUUCGCUUGACUGUAGUACACGCAGUCAGAACCAUUGUCACGUUUUCCAUUAACUUUCAUUCACAUAUCUUCAUAAAUCUAUUUUUUUUAUUUACUUACAUAUUGU